rnacentral:rRNA from 1 species
UACGUAGGGGGCAAGCGUUGUCCGGAUUUAUUGGGCGUAAAGAGCGUGUAGGCGGCCGUGCAGGUCCGUUGUGAAAACUCGAGGCUCAACCUCGAGACGCCGAUGGAAACCAUCUGGCUAGAGUCCGGAAGAGGAGAGUGGAAUUCCUGGUUCAGCGGUGAAAUUCGUAGAUAUUCGGAAGAACACCAGUGGCGAAGGCGACUCGCUGGACAAGUAUUGACGCUGAGGUGCGAAAGCGUGGGGAGCAAACAGG